GCCCAACAGCUAGCCCCCUCCACCAACACCAACAAACCCACAUCAAUAACCCCUAAUACCCUUAAACCACCCCUGAACAAACCAUUUUCCCCCCUUAGUACAGGCGAUAGAAAAGGAACUGCGGAGCAAUAGAAAAAGUACCGUAAGGGAAAGCUGAAAGAGAAAUGAAACAACCCAGUAAAGCACAUAAAAGCAGAGACUCAUCCUCGUACCUUU
rnacentral:rRNA from 1 species